UGUCAAGCUACAAAGGGUACAUGGUGGAUGUCUAGGCGCUGAGAGACGAAGAAGGACGUGGAAGACUGCGAUAAGCUUCGGGGAGCUGUCAAACAAGCUUUGAGCCGGAGAUUUCCGAAUGGGGAAACCUACUGUGGGUUUAUGCCACAGUAUCGGUAUCUGAAUAUAUAGGAUAUCGAAGAUAACGGAGAGAAGUGAAACAUCUCAGUAACUCCGGGAAAAGAAAGAAAUUCGAUUUCCUUAGUAGCGGCGAGCGAAACGGAAAAAGCCCAAACCGAUUGUGUGUCAAACCCUUGUGUGUUGCACAGUUGGGGUCGUGGGGAUUGUAUUAGGCAGGACAAGGACUGUCUGGAAAGUUACAAAUGUAAUUUUUAGCUGAAUAGUGCAGGAAAGCCUAACCAUAGAAGGUGAUAGUCCUGUAGGCGAAAAAAAUUACACUUUCUUUGCAAUUACCCAAGUAACACCCGUCUCGUGAAAGCGGGUGUGAAUUUAGGGAGUCCACUCUCUAAGGCUAAAUACUACUCAGCGACCGAUAGCGCACAAGUAGCGCGAGCGAAAGAUGAAAAGAACCCCUGUUAGGGGAAUGAAAAGAACCUGAAACCGUGUACUUACGAGCGGUGGGUGCACUAUGAUUCCAUUUUGGUGGAAUAACGUGUAACCGCGUGCCUUUUGCAUAAUGAACCGGCGACUUACUAUGUAUUGCUUGGUUAAGUCUUUUAUGGACGGAGCCGUAGCGAAAGCGAGUGUGAAAUGCGCGAUUUUGUAGUACAUAGUAGACCCGAAACCAGGUGAUCUACCCUUGGUCAGGAUGAAGCGAAUGUAAAAGUUCGUGGAGGUCCGAACUCAUUUACGUUGAAAAGUGAUGGGAUGAACUGAGGGGAGGAGUAAAAGUCUAAUCAAACUUGGUGAUAGCUGGUUCUCCUCGAAAUAGCUUUAGGGCUAGCC
rnacentral:ncRNA from 1 species